AUGAUGCAAAUUGAUGUAUAAUUAUUUUUUAUGUCAUUUGGAUAGGACCUAUGGUCUAGUCUGAACGUGUGUUGAAAAACCGAGACUUAAAAAGUGAAUAAUAGUAACCUGAAGUUUAAAAUCCUGAAAAAUAGUAUAAGCCUGAGGGCCGUAUCAUAAUUUACAGGGACUUAUACGUAGUCAAGAUAAAGUCUGAGGACUUAAUCAAACAAUAGCGAAGAGGAUAAGAAUCCCCAAUUCUCCUGUGCGGCUAGGGAUUCACCCAGCCGUCGCCGCCGAUUGCAGAACGACGGCACGCCGCCUACGGCGAGCCGGACGUCGACGGCCUCCGCGACCGCGCCUGGAGGCAUCGCCGGCCGGAGGGUACCGCCUUGCCGGUAGAAGCUCUUCGCGCCGCAGGCUGGUACAGGAGAGGAACCGCGUCAUGGCUGGUCGCUCCGCGGGAGCCGCCCAUCGCGCGUGGAAGCGCAUCCAUGUCGAGGCCGAAGGCCAUGGCUGCUUGGAGCGCCGCACUAUAUGAACAGCGUCCAAAGUAAUUUAGAGGUAUGAACAUGACGAACUGAAGAAAUACCAUGUGGGUGCUUCCGUUUCUUGGUUUGGAUUUUCAAUCCAUCGAUCGUGGGUGCCAAUUCUCAUGUUCCUUCUUUCUAUCUGUUCGUCUUUUUCUCUGCCGAUGUCUCGCCGAGUGCCAUCGAGGGCCACGCCUUGAGUUCGAGGUCGCGAGGAUGCGAGCCGACGCUGCGCGUACAGGCGCAGACGGCAGACGCGAGCGCCACCGCGACUGAUGUCGCCAUCCGCGUCGGGGUUUGCUGCUUCACCGCAAAACGCCGGAUAGCGCCGGUGCAGCCCACGGCCGAGAGUCGCGCGAGCGCCGCUGCGCUGCCCGUCUUUUCCUAUCGUUGGCCUAAUUGCUCUCGGUUAGGGCAAAGUGCUGAUAACGUGUGAAAGUAAAACGAGAGAGAGGAGCAAAUGAUGGAACAGUUACUUUCAUUGAUGAAGUUUGGGGUAUAUAUACCGGGAUACAAAGGCAGUUACAAAGAGCGGUUGCCAAUAGUGGAACUGACAUAAGCAGGGAUUAACCCUUUAAUUAAACUAAUUAAUUAAUUCGUAACAGUCUCGAUGGAUCCGGAGGCCAACGUGGAGGAGACGGCGCGAACCGAAGUCGGCACGCCAAUGUAAGAAAUCAACUCUGCUUCUCAAGCUUGACAUCAAAAAGGCGUCCGGCUCCAUGAGAUGAGACUACAUGCUUGAUAUUUUGCAGGGCCGGGGCUUUCCCUCGAAGUUCAGGGACUAGAUUGAUGUUCUCCUAUCUAUUGCAUCCUCUAGGGUAAUGCUUAAUGUCGUUAAUGACAUUCAUUAGCACCCAUUAGGCAUAAAUAAAACUUUUACGGUGAUUUUUCUUGGACCAGUAGACACCCAGAAGACUUGGGGAGAGGGCCAGAAGGUUCCCGAGGAGGCCACAAGCCUCUAGGGCGCGCCCUGAGGGCUUGUGGGCCUCAAGGGGGUCUCCUAACCCUAACUCCGCCUCUAUAAAUCCUAAAAUAUUCCCAAGCCAUUAGAAGCGUCCACCAAAAUACUUUUCCGCCACCGCAAUCUUCUGUUCUCGAGAGAUCCUAUCUUGGGGCCGUUUCCGGCGAUCUGCCGGAGGGGGAUUCGAUCACGGAGGGCUUCUACAUCAACCUUGCUGCCCUACCGAUGAUGUGUGAGUAGUUUAUCACAGACCUACGUAGCUAGUAGCUAGAUGGCAUUUUCUCCCUCUUUGACCUUCAAUAUAAUGUUCUCCUCGAUAUUCUUGGAGUUCUAUCCGAUGUAAUCUUCUUUUGUGGUGUGUUUGUUGAG
rnacentral:lncRNA from 1 species